CGUGGACGGUUCCCACAAUGCUUGGCGGGAGGUUGUUGUUAACUCUGUUGGCAAUGUCUAUGAUUUUGUCUGCCUCUGUGGUCCGUGUAAGGGAUGGACUCCCAUUGUCUGCAUCUACCGAUUAUGAGCAGAGCACAGGAAUGCAAGAAUGUAGAAAAUAUUUUAAAAUGCUCUCAAAGAAACUUUCGCAGCUUCCUGAUAGAUGUACCCUGAAAACUGGGCAUUAUAAUAUAAACUUUAUCAGUUCUCUGGGAGUAAGCUAUAUGAUGUUGUGCACUGAAAAUUAUCCCAGUGUCCUGGCUUUCUGCUUCCUGGAUGAGCUUCAGAAAGAGUUCAUCACUACCUAUAAUAUGAUGAAGACAAAUACUGCUGUCAGACCAUACUGUUUUAUAGAAUUUGAUAAUUUCAUUCAAAGGACCAAACAGAGAUAUAACAACACACGUUCUUUAUCAACAAAGAUGAAUCUUGCUGACAUGCAGACAGAAAUCAAACUGAGACCGCCGUAUCAAAUUUCUGUGUCAGAACUUGGUUCAGCUAAUGGGUUCUCACAUUUAUCCAUGGCAGAAUACAAGGGUACUGGUAAGAUAUCGGCAGCUCCUCAUCAGCGUCUGGAACCUGUGACUCUGCCAGGGAUUGUCUCAUUUGUGCUUAGUCUGUUAUGUGGGGCUUUGAAUUUAAUUCGUGGCUUUCAUGCCAUAGAAAGUCUUCUCCAGAAUGAAGGUGAAGAUUUCAGCUAUGUUAUUGCAUUUUUUCUUGGAACAGCAGCCUGUUUGUACCAGUGUUACCUGUUUGUGUACUACACAGGCUGGAGGAACGCCAAAUCCUUCCUGACUUUUGGGUUAAUUUGCCUGUGUAACAUGUAUCUGUAUGAACUGCGCAACUUGUGGCAGCUCUUCUUUCAUGUGACUGUAGGAGCAUUUUCUACCUUACAAAUUCGGCUGCGACAACCACAGGGAAAGUCCCCUGAUUACAAUGUCUGACAAGUCCUGCAACAUUUAGAGGCAGUCUUGUUCCAACAGUUAUUCACUCUCAGGAAUGUAACGCUGUUCUCCAAAAGAAGAAGCUGUCUGGACGGGGCUUUGGCUUUUUUUGUUUUAAGAGGGAAACAAAGGAAUACAGGACUAGAGGGGGAAAAUGGAUCAUAUCCAUGCAGUGAAAUGCAUGUAGGGGCACCAAAAUUGGGGAAUUUGACUGGUGGCAUAAAAAAGCUCCGUUUGAAAGUAUGUUAAUGGAAGAAAUAUACAGAGUUAUGUCUUCUGCAUAUCGUGCAAGCUCUUCACUUCCAAAAUCAGUUUUGCCUUUGUGAGGCAGUAGGGAAUAGGCUAAAUAAUAAUAAUAAUAAUGCUAUUGCAUAUUAGUGAACUAGAUUUGGAAUAUGUAAGAUAUUAAAUUUUGGAAUGUUUUGUUUCGCAUUGACAUGAACGUGAAUGUUUUCUUAAUUAAAAUGUAUCCUGGAAACUCUGUUUCUGGGAAUCAGCUUUAUGGCACCUGUGGCCCUCUGUCUAGUGCUAUAAAUACUUUAACUUUUUUUCAUUUAUGAUUUCCUUUUAAUUAUCCUUUGAAAGUGAUCUAUGUGGAGAGGGUUUCUUUUUAGUAAUUAUUCAAAAAGUUCUGCCAUUUAACCCAGGAUUUUUGCACGCUGCUUCUGUUCGAACUCUGGAGAGGUUGAAAGGAAAUGGAUUGACAGAGAAGAAGAAUGCAUUCUUGAACAUGGUCUGCUUUUGGUUUGGGAAUCCAGAAGACGGGGAAAAGAUGAAGAGGAGGAGUGGAUGAAUUUGAGGAAACGUUUACACCACAAAUAUUUUAAAAAUCCAGAAGAACAGAAAAUAGCUUUUGUUUAGCACGGAGAAGUUUGCUUGUAUUAGCAUUCAGUGCACCUUUCUGAACUCUGGACACCAGAAAAGGUGAAAAGCUGUCCUUUAUCCUUUUUAGUCAAUGAUUGAAAAAUAUAGCUAUUUGUGUUUUAAGUAUAGAACAAGGUUUUAUCUUGCUAAUAAAAUCUAGAAGAGUCCUUAUACCUACCUUUUCACUUCACGUCCACUGAUAGGCAGGGAAGCUAUUACGAAUGCCUGAAGUAUUGCUUAGUUUUUAACUCGGGCUCUUGUGCACAUGAAGAAUUUUCUGUUGUAUCAUCAGUUUAUAUGUUGUCAGAGAAUCUUGUUUUCUCUGAGACUCCUUCCCUUCCCGCUAUUCCUAAAGAUGAAUUUUUAAGGAAUGAAAACUUCCUUUGUCAUAGCAUCUGGAGCCAUUAUUCUGUUCCAGUUAUGCUGGUGUUAAAUUGCUGAUUAGCAGGUAUAAUGAACAAACGCAACUGUCGGUGUAAUAGAAGACAGUUGGGGUUUUGUUUGCUUGUUUUUACGGCACUGAUAAAAAUUCCAUUUCACAAUGAGAAGUUAAUGAGCAUGGCUGUUCUUCGUUACCUGAUAUUACUAGGUGCUAAAAACACAGCUUUUGAACCUAUUACUUUAGUUUGACUACAAUAUUAGUACUUGCUGAAAUUUUGUGUGAGGUGACGGUUGGACUUGGUGAUCUUGAAGCUCUUUUCCAACGUAAACGAUUCUAUGAUUCUAUGAGAAACAAGACACACCAGGCCAAGUUGGCAGUGAAAAUUUACUGAAAAUUCCCAGGAUUUGCCAUUUGCUUGUACAAACUCAGCAUUCAGAGAAACAGUAGGUGCUUCCCUGCUGAUUUUGCCAGACACUUGAGCUGUGGACUUAGGAAAAUGAGCUUACGAAAGAUGAUUACUCUCUUGAACAACAUGUGUUAUUUUAGUUUGAAUUGCACAAGGCCAUUCAUAGCCGCUUGGUUUUUUUUUGGUGCGAUUUAGUAGAAGCAGAGCCCACUUCAUGCUGUGUUUAUAAAGUAAGCCCUCUUUAAGGUUGGAAUUGGUCCAUCCAACACCCACAAUACCAUAUUUUUCUUUGAAUAAAAGUGUUGCUGUUUACAUUCGCAAACAGGAAGGGAUGGCCAAAAGUUUGACUGACUUCCACAAGGUAUAUAUCAGGCUGUUUGAGGUUUGGUCACCUCAGAGUCCCCUGUUUGAGCUUCUAGAGAUGUAACCACAUUCUUCCUUGCGUAUUUUUCCUUAAUAUCUGAGGUUUUUCAUAGUGGUCUGCUAUCUUGUAUUUGAUAUCUGGGCCAAUAGCUGGGCAUAGAACUUGUUUCAUUUGUGAAUUGUCAGAUUUUGCUAGAAAAUAACUUUUCAGAUCCUGGAAAAUGGUUAGACCCUUUCGUAUUUCACAGUGCUUCAUGGACGGCUGACACACAUACAUAAGUAUAAGAUAUAUAAGAAUAUAUCUAGAGAGAAAGGGAGAGAGAGGUGUAGAAAAGAAUGCAGCCUUCUACUAGGGGAAUGUAUGUAUGUGUUAUUUGGAUUGAUUUUUAGUUAUAUUGAAGCUAUCGGAGAACUAGAAGAUGAUGGAAACUAGUUUCCUUUGCAGACAUCAUGGUUGCUUAACAUUCACUGUGGAUUCUUUAAUAAAUUGAUAGCUUCUUUAUCAAAGGACUGAGGAACACCUGUUUAGGGUUAUUACCUUUCAGCCUCCUGCCUUUCAUUCCCCAUCUCCAUUGCAAGUAGUGUGAUAUGAUUGGUUUUGCUUUUGUGGUUUGUAUUGGAAAAAAGAAGCCCAUUAACGUUUGCAAACACUAAACAUAUGCUAUUUGGAUCAGCUUUUUGUCAGAAUAAAUAGCAUUCUAGAUACAUGUUACGGCUUGCAAAAAUCCAUGCUUCCUGAAUGGUGUCAAUACAAAGGGAUGUAUUACAGGAGGGUUUUUUCCCUGAUUGGAGGUAAUUGAGGAGAAGGGUAGCGGUAGGGAGUCUGCUUCAGUGGCAGUGGCAGGCCUCUGUUGACAAGAAUCCAGCUGAUCUCUCACCAGGGGUCUCAGGACGCCUGGAGCACCCGGCUUUGUCAAAUACUCCAGGUACCCAUUUACUCUGGUAAGGCCAAAUGAUCUCCCAGUGUCUGUACCAGUUUCCUUUACUUAACAAAAUUAUCAUUCAUCAGUUUCAUCGAUCAAAUUGUUUGCCAAUUAACUUUAUGGAGCGCUUUUGUCAAUUGGUACACCUUCAUGUGCCAUCCUGGCUUUACAGAGCUAUCCAAAAGUUGUUCAGACCUCUUGGAGCAUUUACGGAGUCUUUGUUUUCCUGAAUAACAUUUCUUUCUUCCUCAGAGGCAAAGCUUCCUGAGACAGGUAGGUGACAAGUAUGCGUUCAGAAAGUUUGAGGUAUGUUCAGCAGGUACCUGGCUCCUGCACAGCCGUGACCUGGGCAUCUGGCUCAGCUUGCACUAGGAACGUGGGAGUGACACUGUAGGUUUAGCCCACUAACCUGCAUACUGAGCUGAGCUUAAGAAUGUGCCCUAGUUGUCGAGAACCACACAAAGCGUGAAAGCCAAUGAGAACGCGCUCCAUCUCUCAUUCUGAAGCUGCUGCAGGAAUGCCAUGAGAAGAGAAGGCAAGAGAGAAGGACAUUAUUGGCUGGGUGUUUCUGUACUCACCUAGCUAAGGAGGCCGGGUGUCUGCUUUCAGCAUGUCCUUAAAUAAUGUGACAUUAAAUAAUUCCAAAGGCACGGCCUUUGGAAUUGUCUUCUCCCUACCGUUUUCAGGACACAAUCUGCGUCGCUUUGGUUCUUCAGGCAACUUAUUAUGAGCCCUUUUUCUUAGCAGGAGGUGUGUAGCAUCAAGAAGCUGCUCUGGGUCCCUUUCUUUUGGUCUCUCGCCAUCCCCCAGGCAUGGCUAUGGUGGGAUGCUGUGCGCCUCGCUGAGCAGGUGAAAAAGAGAGGUAGGAUCUCCAUUAGCCUGUAUUUUGUUUCAGACCAAAUGGCAACAGUCACUUGAAGGACAGGAGAGCAUCAAGCAUACCUGAGUGGUGAGAGCAGGCGGUUCUGGGAUGUUACUCCCCAGUGAAGGAAGGAUUGAAACCAUGGUCACAAUGGCACAGCAGGGUAACAGCUUCAUCCUGGGUUUGGUGGGACUCAAGGUAUGCAAUGCCAGACCAGGUAAAGGAACAGAAUAACAUUUGUCUGCCACGUAAUAGGUGUUUUAUGGCUCCUGCUGGAACUUGUGCACCACACAAGAAGUUGUUUGCCAUUAGGUGGGGAGGGCUCCUCUGGAGCCUUUCAUCGGCACCCUUGUAGCGAGGAGGAGCAGCAGUGUGUGUGGCAGGGGCUUGUGUUAUUGC